UAUCAAGCCCUCUAGUGACCUUUAUGAUCAGGCAAACUCAGGUAAUAACAUUGAUUGAAGGGUUGGUGAGUGCUUAUUUUCCAGGUUAAAAUGAUACUGGACACAGAGCAGCAGUUCUCAAAUUUUAAUGUGCUUAAGAAUCACCAGGAAAGUUGUUAAAAAUUAGAUAUCCAGAGAUUUAGACAUCCAGAGAUUUAGAUUCAGAGCUCUGGGAGACACUCAAAAAUUUGCAUUUUUAACCAGUUUCUUCUCUCUAGGGUAAGUCAUUCAGAGGCACUUGUCUUCAUCCAUUCUGUGCUGCUAUAACAGUUCCCCCAUAUAAGUCAGUGGAUGCAGAUGGAUACUUG
rnacentral:lncRNA from 1 species